GCCUCCGUAGCUCAUUGGUAGAGCACCCGCCUCUUAAGCGGAUGGUGAGGGUUCGAAUCCCUCCGGAGGUA
rnacentral:tRNA from 3 species